UGGGGAGUAAGAGGAGACCCAAAAUGCGGAUCUCGCGUCAGGGCUGGAGUUGUUCCUAGCCAUGGAAAAUCACAGUGACGGAGGAGCGAUGCUGGACGGGGGAAAACGGCUGGUGCUGAGCGUGAGGGUGCCACCGAGGCAGUGGGCUGCGAUAACCCCUCCAAGUACUUUUGUGUCUCUCCUCUGCUGGACAAAUGUCUACAGUGCUGAGCUAAGAAGGAUCUUCCUUUGUAUGUGGGGGGGGAAAGAAUGAAAAGUCUGGGACUGGUAAUCUCGGAAGAAGAUUGAACACAACAUAGGUCAUGGUCAAGAAACCUCUCAAAAGGCCAAGACUAAUUUAAGGUACGUGACAGUCUCACAUGUGCCUGACCACAGGGUUCUCACUUCCCUCUGAACCGCGUCUCUGGGGCUGCUGCCAGACGAGGUAGACCUCAGGCUUCAAUCAGCAUGGCAACUCCCUUGUGCCUUCUCCUAAUUGUUUCCCACAACCCUCCUAGCUCCCCGGCCGUCAG